rnacentral:rRNA from 1 species
CUGCAGCUCAAGUGGUGACCGCUAUUAUUGGGCCUAAAACGUUCGUAGCCGGCUGAGUAAAUGCUUGGGUAAAUCGUGCCGCUUAACGGUACGAAUUCCGGGUAGACUACUCAGCUUGAGACCGGGAGAAGCUAGAGGUACUCCUGGGGUAGAGGUGAAAUUCUGUAAUCCUGGGGGGACCACCAGUGGCGAAGGCGUCUAGCUAGAACGGGUCUGACGGUGAGGGACGAAACACUGGGGCGCGAACCGGAUUAGAUACCCGAGUAGUCC